rnacentral:sRNA from 2 species
UAAAAUCAUGCCAAGAAAUGGACUGGGACCAAACCAAAUCAAACCAAAUGUGUAAUUCAUGGUCCCGGCGGCCAGUCUAUAAAUUAGUGAUUCUGAUUUCAUUUAAUUUCAUUUUAUAAAAUGAAAUCAAAUGAGAUUAUGAUUUACUCUAUAUAAAUUGGCAGCAGUGAUAGAUUAGCAGUGAUAGAUAGAUUGACAGUGAUAGAUAAAUUGACAGUGGUAGAUAGAUUGACAGCAGUAAUAGAUUAGCAGUGAUAGAUAGAUUGACAGUGGUAUAGAUUAACAGUAGUAGAUAGAUUGACAGUAAUAGAUAGAUUGACAGUGAUAGAUAGAUUAACAGCA